AUUGAACGCUGGCGGCAUGCCUUACACAUGCAAGUCGAACGGCAGCACGGGAGCAAUCCUGGUGGCGAGUGGCGAACGGGUGAGUAAAGCAUCGGAACAUGCCCAGUCGUGGGGGAUAACGCAGCGAAAGCUGUGCUAAUACCGCAUACGAUCUAUGGCUGAAAGCGGGGGACCGUAAGGCCUCGCGCGAUUGGAGUGGCCGAUGUCAGAUUAGGUAGUUGGUGGGGUAAAGGCCCACCAAGCCGACGAUUUGUAGCUGGUCUGAGAGGACGACACGCUACACUGGGACUGAGACACGGCCCAGACUCCUACGGUGGGCAGCAGUUGGGAAUUUUGGACAAUGGGCGCAAGCCUGAUCCAGCAAUGCCGCGUGCAGGAUGAAGGCCUUCGGGUUGUAAACUGCUUUUGUACGGAGCGAAAAGGCACUUCCUAAUACGAGGUGCUGAUGACGGUACCGUAAGAAUAAGCACCGGCUAACUACGUGCCAGCAGCCGCCGUAA
rnacentral:rRNA from 1 species